rnacentral:rRNA from 1 species
UGCCAGCCGCCGCGGUAAUACGAGGGGUGCUAGCGUUGUCCGGAAUCAUUGGGCGUAAAGGGUCCGUAGGCGGUUUAACAAGUCAAUUGUUAAAGACAUCGUCUUAACCGAUGGAGUGCAGUUGAAACUGUUAGAAUAGAGUUUAGGAGAGGAAAGUGGAAUUUCUGGUGUAGCGGUGACAUGCGUAGAUAUUUGGAGGAACACCAGUGGCGAAGGCGGCUCACUGGCUCGAUACUGACGCUGAGGUACGAAAGUGUGGGGAGCAAACAGGAUUAGAUA